CCCCUGAUGGUGUAGUUGGUUUAUCACGUCUGACUGUAAUGGUAAUGCAUAAUAUAUUUAUUAUAUAUUACGCAUGAUUCUUGUAUAUCAGAAGGUCGCUGGCUCGAUUCCGGCUCGGGGGA